rnacentral:tRNA from 1 species
GUUUGUGGCUCAGUGGUAGAGUGCUUGCCUAGCACACAUGAGGCAUUGGGUUCAAUCCUUAGCAACACA